CUUCUACCUUUUCCUGUACCUCCUGUUACGCCUCUCCUGCUUCUUCUUGUGCUUCUAAUGCUUCUGCUCUGAUUCUACACUUCUUCUGGUGCUUCUCCUUCUUCUGUUGGUGCUUCUCUUGUUUUUUCUUCAUUUUAUUUUACUUCCUGUUGUGCUUCUUCUAGUAAUCCUUCUGCUUCCUCCUAUGCUAGUCUUGUUUCUUCUUGUGCUUCUUGUGCUCCUUCCUGUGCUCCUCCUGCUUCUUCUUGUGCUCUUAAUGCUUCUGCCGUUAUUCUACACCUCUUCCGGUGCUUCUCCUUCUUCUGUAGGUGAUUUUCUUGCUUUUUUUAAGUUUCUUUUACUUUCUAUUGUGCUUCUUCUGCUUCUUCUUAUGCUUAUCCUGCUUUUCCUUGUUCUUCCUCUUGUGCCUCUCGUGCUCCUUCCUGUGCUCCUCCUGCUUCUUGUUGAGAUUCUUCCCUUUUUGGUGUUCUUCUUGCUUUUUCUUGAUUUUCUUUUACUUCCUGUUUUGCUUCUGCAUCUUCUUCUGCUUCUUCUUGUACUAAUUCUUCUUCUCCUUCUGCUCCUCCCUUACCUCCUUGUACUUCCCGUGCUUUUGCUUGUGCUUCUUCCUCAUCCUCUUGCACUUUCUUUCCUUUCCUUUCCUUGUGUUUUUUCCCUGCUACUUGUUGGGCUUCUCUUGCCUCUUAUUGUGUUUCUUCUACUUCUUUUUUCCACUUUUCCUAUUUUUUUUCCUUGUGAUUAUUCAACUUCUUCUUGGGCCUCUGUUCUUCUUUUUCUAUCUAUCUUCCUAUUUUUUCUUGUUCUUCUCCCACUUUUCCUUUUGUCUGUCCUUGUGACUUUCUUCCAUCUUCUACUUCUUUUUGUUCUUCAUUUGCAUCUUUUCUUCUAUUUUUCUUUCUCUUCCUUGUCAAUUACAGUCGUCUUUUGAUAAUAAGUUGCCACCUGUCGUUUCUAGACCCCUGCUAAGCAUCUUUACAACCAUUAAUUCCUUGUGUUGCCCGAUUCAAAUCAAAUUUAAUCAAAAUAACUGGAAAAAAAGCACAUUUGUACACAUAUGUACUCACAGAUUUCAUCUAAUGAUGAAUCUGCAGAUGUGUUUUGAUUUGUAGUUGUUCCAGUUUAACCCACCAUACAAAUCAAUCGAGACUUUUUCACACACAUAAGAAAGUCUAUCAGUUAAUCCCGUUAGAUAAAGAAACUAUUCAAACUUUAUUUGCCUCUAUAUAAGCACUCGAUCCCGCUCAGGGCAUUUGUUUUUGGCCAAGUACCUAUAAGAAGUCAGCAGCAGCAACUAGUCCAGAAGAAAAGAAAACAAAUACUUAAGGAUAUACAAACCUCACUAAAAAUUUAAUAUCCUGCUGUCUUGAUGCUUAAAAAAGGACAGAGAGGGAAAGAAGUCUGUAUAUUCUUCAUGUUUCAGCACUAAAACAGUGUCCCUUUGCACAGCCUCACUUCACUGUGUGCUGUAUUUAGAAUAGAAAUGUCAAUACCUACCUGUGGAGCUGAUGAGCACAGCCGAGGAUCCUCGUCAGAGAGUUGUAAAACGGGUCACUCCAUAAAGUGAAGUGUGUGAUUAGAGAAAAGAAACCUCAAAUAGACUCAGGAUGGAGCUGCAUCUCCUCCCGCCCCUCGCGCUGACCAAUCGGCACUCCUGCCAGCUGAGGCUGGCCGACGCGGGGCCGAGUGUUUGAUAAAUGGGGGACGAGAGGUCGAGAGCCGUAACUAUAACCCAGAGCUCUGCUGGGAUUCAGCGUGAAGUGAGAACUCGGAGGAAGUGCGGCUCAUUGUCUCCUCUUGAGUCUUUCUAAUGACAGAGACGAGAGUGAAGUUUGACAGGAGAUGUUCUGUAAGUAGCAGCGCUCUACAGAGGAGAGGUGAGAUCAUCAUAAAAUAUUAAGACAACAGAUCUGGAGUCGGUGAGAAUGGGAGACAUUUUAGGAGGAGUGUGCGCUGUGUGAGGCCUUCACUUCCUCUGCUCUUUGAAAGCUCUAUCUUUAUAAUGGAUGGCAGAGUCUCUGGGGAGUGUCUAGACGUUGGUGGGAAAUCUAAAUGGUCGGGAAAGCCACUCGCAUCCUCGUCGAGCAGUGCGGGAGAGGAGGCGGGAAGCGGGGAGAACCGGGGUCUGCACCCCGAGCUACGCCAUCUUCACCCGAGUUCCAUUUUUCAUCUGUAAUUGAAGGAGAUUCCUGGAAAGGAGUCGUGGGGAUUAAAUGAAGCUGAAAUGCCCUCAGAUUCUUAUUUUCUACCUUAUUUCCUAAUCCCUCCAACCCCAAGUGCCCUCAGCUCCAAGACCAUGAUGCUCUCUGACUGCACCCACACCACCCCCGCCUGCCUUCCUGCACCUUCCCCUCUCGGUUUUCCCUCAUUUUUUCAUGCCUCCACCCUUUUUCUUUCCCUCCCUCUCUCCCCCUCAGUUAUUUAUGAACAGGACUUGAAAUAGACUUUAGUAUUUGAUAAAAGCCUGAUCCUUAAUCCGAGUUGCCUGAGAAGUGCAUUUCAUUUUUAUUUCCCAUCAGAGAUUGAUGGAGGAGUGGGGGCGGUUACCGACUCUGUGAUUGCUAAUGUAAAUUCAUUGGGUUCCGGUGGACAUGUUUAAAGAUAUGGAGGCCUUGUAUGUGCGUGGAAACGCCGAGAAGAAGAGAUUGUGUGCGUGCGAAAGUGAUGGAGAGGCUGGAUUGUGAUGUGACAGUAGACGCAGAGGAAGAGGAGUUGUAUGAGUUGUUUGAUGCUGGUUGUGAUUUAUAAGGAGCGGAAAAGAAAAUCUUAAAUUUGUAGAUUCUUUGAGCGCCAUUGUGUGAUUUCACUCCCCGCCGCCGCCGCCGUUUGCUUUUUUUUUUUUUCCUUGAAGGAGGCGGGAAAAAUAAAACGGGUGAUAAAUUCAAGAUGACAGUUAGGCCAUAUGAAUGAGGCCCCUCGUGUAUCAAUUCGCUCAAAAAGCCAGCUGCAAAUUUAACUCGGCCUCCUUAUGUGGCAAUUACCGACGGGUAACAUAACCUGAACGUAUCUGCUCUGUUCAUUACGCCAAUGUUCUCUAUAGCUGGCAAAUGUUCUUUAGGAUCCUACAGCAAAUUAGCUCAUCCCCCAGGACGUCUUUUAUUGGAUGAUCCAACACCGGAGGACGCCACAAAAACCACUCCAGCUCUCCGCAGCCUCCCCCCCUCCUCUCCUCUCCUCCCUCCUUCCUUCCUCUCUCUUGGUCGACACAGGGUUAAUAUUUAAAAGCGCAACGCUCCCGGUCGCUUAUUGAUGAUAUGUUUUGAAAAUUGCUGAGGCAGGCUCAUUGUUACAGUGCUGUCUAAAAGAUAGCCAACCCCUCACCCUCUUCUCCUCCCCUCGCUCUCACGGUUCUCCACCCCCCCCCCCCCCCUCUUGUGCGGCCGCCAGAUGGAAAACACACUAAAGCUGAUAAUGUAAUCUAGCCUGGCACAUGAGGGUGUUUCAACUUCAUGUUGAUGCUUUUUUUUUUUUCUUUCUUCACCAAACCUGGUCACCAGGCUCAGAGUUUGGGCGCUUUAAUUUAGGGGAAAGAAACACAAAGAUGGCGAGCAUCUGCAGCUGAAAGUAGAAAACAAUCCUUCAAGGUUUUCUCUUCCAUCACUCACACAUUCCUCCCUCCUUUUCCUCUUCUUCUUCUUCUUCUUCUUCUGCCACAACUUGAGUGCAACAAGAAGAAAAAGAAGAAAGAGGAGCAAUCUUUUAGCCUCCACUUUCACCAGCAUCAUCAACACAAGUCUUCACCCACUCCCCCCUCCUCCUCCUCCUCCUCCUCUUCCUCCCCACAGAGCUCUCCACCGGCUUCCUGCUCUCCCCCCCACCACCCUCCCUCACCCUCCCUCCCCGGGACACUGAAUUUUACAGUACCGUCUGCAGGAUCCCGGUUUGUUCGGCGCUCUCCUCUAUGCAGAGCAACACGGCUCCGGUGGAGGAACGCUGGAGGCAGCUGUCAAGCGCGCAGGCUGCUGCUGCUGCUGCUGCUGCUGCUGCUGCUCUAGUUGAGCCUCGGCGCCGUACCGACUGAUUUCACAUUCACCAAUAAGAGACGGCACAGGGGGGAGAGAGAGAGCGAGGGAGAGGGAGAGAGCAGAGAGAGAGAGACAGAGGGAGAGUCUCGAAGUGAGUGGCGUUGGAGAGGCAAGUGGAGUGGAAGAGUGUCAAAAGAAAAAAGAGGUUACAACACCUCCCCAGCUUUCUCUUUUUUCUUCCUCCUGUCUGCUUUUCUACCCCUUUUUUUUCUGAAGAGGAGAAAAAGAAGAGGAGGCUUUAAUAAUUAACUGAGAGAAAGAAACAGAAGAAGAAGAAGAAGAGGAAGAAGAGGAAGAAGAGGAAAGGGGGGAACCUGAAGUCAAGCCCUGUUGAAGAGUUUUUAAGGGUGGGCUGCAGCCUCAUAGGAACAAGGACCUCUCUGUCCACACUCUCGGACUCCUCUUGACUGGCUGGACUGGUCCCAGCGCUCGGCCUUUCUCUCCUUUUGCUCGCCCGCCUGCUGACACCCGCCCCGUUUCCACCAUGAUGAUGUACUUUUGGGUGAGUACCCCCCCUCAAAAACAAACAAAGCCUCGAACCCUCCUUUUUUAAACUCUGGCACCGGCUUCAGAGGGUUGUUGUAGUGUGUGUUGUGUUUGUGUCAGAGUGUGUUGAAGCCUUUACAGUAGAUACAGUGAGUGUGUGUGUGUGUGUGUGUGUGUGUGUGUGUGUGUGUAUAUGUGUGUGUGUGGGGGGGGUUACGCCUCCCACAUGCAUGAACUGAGACGUUAUGUCUCCAUGUGUUUUAUUGAUGCUGGAUGCUGCAGCCAGAUGCUACAGAGGCCUACAUGUUAGCCCUUAAAGGAGAGAGAGGAUGUCAGCGUGCGACUGUUACCCACACUAAUACCUUUACAACUCCUCUUAUUCAACUUCCUCUGACUCUUAAACUACCCAGCAUGCAACCUGUCUGUCAUUUAAAAGCACAUCUCUCAGAUUUAAGGUGUGAAAAGGAGCUACUUGGGGUCUUCUGGGGACACAUUUUGAAUUCCUUUUUGUCUGAUUUAUUUCUUUUUUUUUGUUUGUUUGUGUUUUUCCAUAAAUGAAGCAGCAUUAGACGCAGAAUGAGGAUGAUUACAGAUUGUUAACCAGGAGCUGCUGAUUAAUUCUGUUUGAGAUUUUUCUGCGAUUAGUCCGAUCGGUUUUGUCUCCUCGGUGGUUUGUUUUUUCUCUCUCUACAACAACAUCCGCCCUGCCCCCUGCGCUCGCUGCUUUUCGCAUUUACAGAAAUACAACGUGAAUGAAAUUAUUCCCCAAAUGCAACACAUACUUUCCAGCAAUAUGAGUGUUUGUUAGUUGGGAGCUGUAAUGCAGUUACAGAUGUGUCCGCUGCAGACUGAGUGUGUGUGCUGCAAUCGAUCGUGAGUUCGGAUUUCUAGAGGAAGAGAGCCUCUUUUUUUUUUUUCUUUUUUUUUUUAGGGGUGCUGAGGAGUUAUUUUACCUGCUUGAUUCGAUUAUAUAACUUAAUACUGAGGCCACUUUUCUGUGAAAGAGAGACAAAACAUGAAUUACAAAAGUAUGCUCUGAAUGAAGCAGCACUGCUAUCGAUUUGUAGCUCGGGUAUCCGGAGAGAGAGAGGAUGUUUUGGGGCUAAAAGUUACUCUAAGUGGAGAAAACAAGCUCCAGUUUGAACCGCAAGAAAAAAGUUUGUUUUGCAGUUGGAGUGAAAGCGACAGAGAGAGUGUAUGAUUUCCAAAAUAAUGUCACAACUCAGAGAAAACCAAUCCAGCCGGUGUGGAGCGGUGUGUGUUUUCACAGGCCGCUCAGACACAGGCCUCCCUGAUAAGCGUCCUGCGCCGCCUCCUGGGCCUUGAUGCUGAUUGAGAGAGGCUCGGCUCUGUUUUCUGGCCUCUUUGAAGACGCGCUGUGAGGAUGCUGCUCACCUCUUUUCCACCUCCGGUUUCAUCACCGAUUCUCCCUGCAGCCGGUCAGAGUCAUGACCACUCAAACGUAGACGCAGGCUGAGGGAGAGUGAGGUAGUGCUGCAGAGUUCCUCAGCUGUUUUUAUUUUUCUGUUAGAUAAGGAGGCAUCGCUGGUUUGGACCUGGAUUGAUCAGGAUUGAGCUGAAUAAUGAUGAUCGUUUAAAAGAUGGUCAAGUUUAAAGAAAUUAACUGCCAAAAUAUUUUUAAAACAGCCAAUACACUUACAAACUAUACUGCAAAUUUCAGAUACUUUGAGGGUUAUUUCUUCUCUACCUUUAAAGGCAAAUUCUGACACACUCACAUGAACCACUUUGGCUUCUUUAGACCCUUUGCAGAAUCAGUUUACUUAUAAAUAACUCAUGAGCAACUAUGUGUUUGUAUGUUUAUAAUUAAAGUAAAUGUGCUCCACUUUUACUAGCAUUAGCUUGAAGAAAGUGAGCAUUUUGAUUCAUGAAUUAUUUCAACCAGUGUUGUAAUUGUAUGUCAUAUGUAUUUUUUUAAAAUCUUGUGCUGACAUUGUAGUCCAGCUGCUGUUCAGAGCGUCCUCUUGCAGCAAUCAUGAUGCAAAAUAACAACACUGUGACACUUUUGCAGAUCACGUUUUUACUUUAUAAAACUGUCAGACAAUUAAUGUCACAUGUCAAAUGUAAAAUGCACUUUUUGGCUAAUUGGUUAAAUAUCAUCAAAGUGCUUAAAUUUUGGGCAACCACUUUUGAGCGGGGCAUUCAGGUGCAGCUAAUGGGACUGAUAUCUGCAGGUAACUGGAGAAUGAAAACCAGCAGAGUACUCUUUAGGAGUGUGUGGAUAAAACUGAAUAAGCAAAAGAGAAAGCGAACAAACUGAAACUCCUGAAGAGUGUGAAUGCUACAAUAACCAGGGAUCCCGAGACAAAAUGGUUUCAGAUUAACUGCACACCAUAUUGACCCUAAUUGGACAAUCUUGACAUGCACUUCUGCAAAUUUUUUUUCAGUCUUAUCCCUAAAUUAAUACUAAAAACAAUAACUGUGUUUUGCAAAAUAAUCACUUUAAAGCUACUUUCCCUAAUUCGUGGUUUCAAACAUACUGAUGAAGCAGUGCAACACUUAGUCCAGUAAUAAAUCUGAAAGUCAAGAUCAUAAAGUGCAUUUGAUUGCUUUCAUUUAACUUCCAAAUCAAGACAAUGCCUGAAAACGUUUUGACACUAAAAAGUCAGUUUUCAAGCUUGUGAUUAUCCGUCUCUAAUCUGAAGUUUUGUAAUUAAUUGCAAUUAAAGAAAUAUCUUCUGACAGCCCUUAUUUAUGCACUAUGUUCAUGUCAUUUUUACUAAAGUAAAAUAUGCAAGUAUCUCAUACAAUACCAUUAAAAUGAAUGUAAGGACAACAUAAGUAAUGCUUAUGGUUAUUUGCUGUUUCAUGGACAUCCUCAUACAUGUUUCUUUAAACUCAAAUUCAAACAGACCUUCCUUUUUCCCUUAAAGGUUGGUUUAGUGUUGCAUUAUGUCACCUUGUACACUAACAAUAUACGCAUAUACUGAGAUUAUCUUGUUGUCUUUAACUUGAUUAUCUGAGCAAAGAUGUGACAGUAAAUGGUGCAAUAGUGCUGUUGAAAAAGUGACCAAAAUAUCUGGACAGUCAUCAGCGUGUGCAGCCAAUGAUCUUAUUGAAGGAUGUUGCAAAGUGAGUCUUUUUUUUAGCUUCAUAUACUCGUGCAUUUUUUUGGAUUCUGUGUUUAUUAACUCUGGUUGCUAGUUUUAGUCCCAGCUUUGACUUUCUUCUCACUCAACAUGCACCUCUUUGCUUUAAACAAACAGUAAAUACAUGAAUCCCUUUCUCUGACUUCAGCUUUAAAGUUAAAAAUCCUGCCUUUUUUUUAACUAAAACAGAAGGCUAACUCACCUCUGAAUUUGGCAACAAAAAAGGUUUUUUAAGAUGCUCUCACAGUUUUGUAUCCGAAGCACUGAUAGCAAAGAGAAGAGUCAGUGAGUGAUGAAAUAACAGCUGUUUUUGUUGACUCCAGAUAAAUCUUUUUUUCUUCUUCUCAGUUUCCAUUCAUUUGACAAACUUUCUUCUGUGUUUGGAAAGAAAAUGUCAAGAUCGGUUGUGUUCAUACUACUGUGGUUAAUCAUUGCAAUCAGCUUUUGGCAAUUUUGAUCAGAUUUGAGUCAAGGAAUAAAAGUCAAAGUAAGUCAUAAGAAUUGUGAUAGAUACAAAACUUGUUUGCAAUCCUCAAAUAUUGUGGUUUUCUUUAUUUCUAUGACUGUUGGAAGUGAUGCAGUACCUAAACUAUUGAAGGGGGUCAUUUCAACCAACUACCAACCACUGUAUUGUGUUUUCUAACCAAACAGAUGAUUCAUUUGGCUAAAAAAUUGAUUAAACAACUGAAAAUAAAAGUAAACGCUUUUAAUAUCUAUAUUACAAAGAGAAGCAAUGACUUUCUUUUUGUCUUGCAGACCUGAACAUGAGCAUUAAGAACAUGCAAGAGUUAAAAGAUUAGAAAAAAAAAACUACUGCAGCUUCAUGCAACUCUGCAGAAAGCGGAGUAAAUCACAGUAAUGUGUAUGAUAUGUGUUUUUUUUCCUGCAGCUCUUAGCUCAACGUCUCCUCAGCAGCAGCAGAUACAAGAGCUGCAUGAGUCUCACAUUGCACUUGUCGGUCUUGAGAGCAUCACAACCAGAGCAUGAUCAAUGAUUUACCACCCAUCCCUGGUAUCUACAGUGCGUGGGUGGCAGUGUGUCUGUGUCUGUGUCUGUGCGUGUGUGUAUUUGUCGGCCAGCGUUUAGCUGAGAGAGGAGGGUGGGACCGCCUCCUGCUUGAACUGCAGGUGGUGAGCAUUACCUGCGGUCCCUCCGGAGGCCUGUCAGCCGUGCAUCAGUCUGGGGAACCUGCAAGCUCCCCUCAUUAGAAUAUUUAUUCACCAAGCAGAUGUUCUUAUCCGGGGCAAUUACCUUUGGCUUACAUUUCCCUAUUGCCCACUGAUAUAGAUGAAUGUGUAUACAAAGACGUCCCACGUUAUGCAUGGGGCCCCUGGGUGCCAACCACCUUUCUUCCUGUAUGCAUAGCGGGCGAGCCAGCGACCGUCUGGUCUGCCGCAGAACAACCCAAACCCAACCUCAACUCUGUUGCGGUAAUUGGAGGAAGUGCAGGGCGACAUCUCCUGCGAUGGCCACACAGUGAUGGAGAGACAGGCCUGUAUAUCAUUCUCUCCACCCGGCUGUUCCUUUGCAUUAGAGCCAGAGAGAAAAAGGGAAGAGGCAUGGAGUGGAGAAACCAUGCAUGCUUCUGUCCUCCCCUCAGUGUGAUGAAUAAUUUAGCAGUGCAGGGCCCUCGCUGUCGAGUGGAGAUGGUGGUAAUGGGGAGACUGGAUAUAUAUGGCAUGGCAAGGAGCAAUGGUUUACGUUAGACUUCCCCGACCAACGCACUCGAGUGUGCCGCAGGCUGCUCACAUGGUGUGUUUGGCCCGCAUUAAUGCUUUGUUUUUAUCAGGAGGAAAAACGCCGUCCAAAGAGGAGGCUUAAAAACAAAGAAGGAGUCAGUCUGAGGCUUUAGAUCUGUGGUCAUUAGCAGGAGUGGAUCCCCUUUAGGCAGGCGCUCAAUCAAAGCGGCUGUGAUUCGCUCAUAUAUGGCGCGUUAUACUGCAAAUUGUAUCUGUAGGUUCCUCAGACGAUAAAGAAUAGCUCGGAGCGCUCCUGCAUCUGCCCUUAUUGCACGGUGCAUACAUGUGCAGCAUGUGUUUGGGUUACAGUGCAUGCCUCUGGUGAGACAUUACAAACCCAGGCAGAGGCGUUUGCAGCCCAACCAGGAGACCGUGUUGAAAUUCAUGGCGGCGGGCGUGCAGAGGCAGAGCUGAUCAGCCAUUCUGGGCGGGAGGGCGGCGAGUCCAGGCCGCUGGUUUCAUAUUGCAAGAUGAAGUGCUUGCGAUCGUUUGUUAAUGUAUUAAUUGAUCUGUGUCCUCAGACAGGCGCAUCAGGAGUAGUGUCACGUAGACUCUUUAGUACUCCCCGAGACGCCUUCAUUAGCUGCUGCUGGCCGGCUCUCCACCCCCAUUACAGGGCCACGUUGCCACACACUUUACCUGACUGCUGUAAUAACUUUAGACAUUUCUAUCUCCCCCGGCAAGUCGUCCAACAGUCAGAACAGUUUGGGGGCUUAACAUCAAAUGUGAGGCUCCUCUUUGAACGGCUGAGGCUGCAGGUGAUUCACUCCAGGGUUUUGCACGGCGUUGUUUUGUCUAGAGGAGUUGUUGCUCUCCUUUUUUUUUUUUUUUUUUUUUCCUUACAAGUUUUAGGAACGGCUGUUGCAAUCAGUCAUUAACUUCCAGCUCAAUGUUUUAUAAUCUGGAAGGCACACAUGCCUUUGUAGCAGAGCUGAUGUAAGAGCUCUGCUACAAAGCCAGGGGAAGCUGAGGAAGCAGCCGGGUGGAGAACAUCCAGGAAACGUGUUAUCUGUUUAAGCGCUAAUACCAAUCAGAGUUAGGCAACUUCAUCAGGCGGGAAACUGUAUAUGUUUACAGCCCGAAUCUGACGACACAGAGGAUAAAUUCAUCAGGAGAAAUCAGGAUGAAUGAGAUUGAUUCGGCUUCUUUUUCCUCCUCUUUACAGGAUCAUUAGCAAUCACUAGCUUUGUAGUAGAAGUAACAAUAAUUCUGUCAGCUUUUGGUCUCUCCCCCCUCGGGGCUAAUGGGUCUAGAGCCCAGCUAAUUGUGAUUAGGCUCUGACAGCAGGUUUUACUUGCAGGAUUUUCACACCACAGUCCUCUUUGAUAUUAGCCGCACAGCUGAUAAAGAGAUUAGAUACAGGAGGAGAGAGGAAGGGAGGGUGGAGGGGAGAGAGGGAGGAAGGAGAGGCGAGGAGGGGGGAGGUGUUCUUAAACUACAGAAAGACACCUACACGGGGGAAAUCACUGGCGAGUUUAGCAGGAGGAAAAUAGAUCCGGACGCAGUAAAAGCCUUGCGCUCGCUUAUUGCACCUGCUAUCAUUAGCGCUUUUGUACACAUGGUCAGCCUCCCAGGGAAAAGUCAUUAUCCAGCUGUGCCGUUAUUUUUCUGCUGUUUUCUCCUAGUGGAGUGUGACUUCAGGGCUAUAGCCAGCGCACCAUUUAAUGCCUCCAACACAAUAAAGGACUCCAGCCUUAAUGAUGUGGGAUUGGAUGGCCAUGCCUCAGGUUGUCCAGGGGCUUGUGAGCUGUUACCACGAGCGGCCAUUUUGCCUCGCCGCUGCGCGUCAAUUCGACUCCAGCCAUUCCAGAGGAGGCGAGGAAUAAAAGUCCGGUUUAAUGAUGAAGUGCGGCAGCGUUGUUUAAAGCCUCCUCUUCCUUCCUCCCUCUCUUCAGGAGGACGAGAGAAUAAAGGCGGGAAUAGAAAAAAAAAAAAAACAAUGAGGAGGAAAAAGAGCCGCUGGAGUAGUAGAAUGGAAAGUUGCCAGUGCACGCCAACUUGCCAGAACACGAGGAGAUAUUGUCUGCUUUUCACUCCAACCCCAAGUGGUGAAUCACGCUCAGAGGGAAGUGUGAUUAUGCAGAAUAAUGUUUUAAACUAAAGUGAAGCAGACAUUUUACAUCUUUCUGACUCGGACGAUUAAAUAUUAAGACUUCUGCAACAAAUGAUGAUCUGAAUUUCAAACUGGAGCAGAGGUUCAAAGAUUAUGCCCCAAAUUUCACGACGUCCCACACUCUAAAAAUAGGAUAACGAAGGCGUCAUCUGAGCAUUGACAGUAGAACAACAAGUUAGUUUCGGGAUGAUAGCAUAUGUCAUUGAAGUCUGGGAAACAUGGCGCUGUGGCCUAAAAAUGUCCCCCUUCAGCUGAUGUAUGGGAAGAAACGGCUUCUCUCAGCACUGAGUCAUUUACAGAGUUUCCUUUUCCUCGUCUCUUUCACUUCAAAAACGCUUUAAAAGAAGUAUCAGGUUAGCACCAUGUUGUUGUGCGACUCCACUUCCAAAAAAGUUUGGACUCUGUGAAAACUGUAAACACUCUGGUUUAUGUUCAUACACUUUCUUCUUGGUACAUUUGAACCCGCGGCAACUAAUUGUGUUCACUCACAGUGGCUUUAGAUGUGGUUUUGAAUCAAUGGGAUGACUUCAAUUGAAGAUUUAGGCUUUUUUUCAAUGCAUUGCCACCUGGGGCACAAAGAUCACAAUCAUCCUGUAGUAGUUUGGGUCCUUGUCCUUUUCGUGCAGAGAUUCCUUCAGAUUUACAGGUGAUUUGAAGCCAAUGCGGUGAUUUCAGCUUCAGAGACAUGUCUGUUUUUGAUGCAGUUCUGCCUCAGGAUAUAAAAAUAGCCACUGCCCAGUUUUGGUUUUGGGUUAUGUCUCAUUUGUAAAGAGAUUUCUCCUGAUUUAAAAGUGAUUUGGAGCUGAUGCGGUGACUUCCACUGCAGAGGGUCAUGCCAUUUUUUAAUGCAGUGUCACCUGGGGCUCAAAAAUCACAGUCAUCCAGUAUUAGUUUGGGUCCUUGUCCUUUUUGUGCAGAGAUUUCUCCAGUUUCAGAGGCGAUUUGAAGCCAAUGCAGUGAUGUCCCCUUCAGAGACAUGUCUGUUUUUGAUACAGUCCUGCCUUAGGACAUUAAAAUAGCUGUCAUCCAGUGUUGGUUUUGGGUAAUGUCCCUUUUGUAAAGAGAUUUCUCCUGAUUUAAAAGUGAUUUGAAGCUGAUGCGGUGACUUCCACUGCAGAGUCAUGCAAUUUUUUCAUGCAGUACUACCUGGGGGUAUAGGUUUACUCUUCCUAACUUUGAAAAGCCCCAUUUGAUGUCUGAAAUGUCGAUAUAAGUGAUGCAGAUGGCCAGUACUGAUGAUUUCCUUCAACUAUAGGAUUUGACUCAGUUAAGUACAGGAUUUGUCUUUCAAACUGCAUAUCAUAAUCUCUCACAGACUGUGUGAUAGUCCCACAUUUUUUUUUUUUAAGUUUGAUCAUUAAAUAAAAUCAGUUUGUCCAGCAGGGAACAUCUUCUACCCAAUAAAAACUCCUCUAAAUCAUCAGUACGGUGAUAUGGCUUUGCAGAUUAAUGUUAACGCAAUGCUCUUAAAAAUUUGCAAACCCUCCAAAUGAGUUUUAUUAACAUUUUACACAGCUGUCUAAAUGUUUUAGAAGUGAAGUAGUUAUUAUUUCCAGCAGUCUUAUUUAUCUAUUUUUACUUUCUGUGGUCGGCCUGUUGCGCCUGCCAGUAACUCCAGAAGUCUCUCAUGGCAGUUCUUCAUCCUCUCCUCAGCAGCAUUGCAGCAGAAGGCGCGUGCAUCGCUAACACGCCUGUGCCAUAGAUAUGCCCCGAAGUGUCAGCUCUCACAUAAGGAAAAGAUUGGAGGAGAAGCCCCUGUGAGAACAGCAGCAACAUUUCCACUGGCAAGCUGCCACGCAUGAUAAGAAAUCCACGUCUGCCCUCACUCUCUCUCUCUUUCUCUCUCUCUGCAACAAAUGUAAUUUGUGCAGUUUCAUACACUUUAGACUCACUUUCUCAAAUAGAAUCAUGAAGCACAAAUCAUUGGCUCAGUGCUUAUUCAAAUAAAUGUUUGACAAAAGGUUUUAGAGAUGUAAAAGCUUGACGCAGUAAAUGGAUUAUUUUUGCAGAUGAAGUUAUGGAAAGGUAGAAGAAAAACCUCCAAGAAACCAGAACUAAUCACUGGCCCUGACUUGUUUUUCAGUCAUUCUGAGGCAGAAUGUGUAACGCCCCUAAAAGUCAUUCAGUUUCAGUCUCUUUUUUUAUGUUUCAUUGCCUGUCUUGGUUAAAAACUAGAUUUUGAUUGGUCAUAGUUUUAAAGAAAUAAUCAUUAAACAUCUAUAGCAAAAGUGACAGCAGCGACAACCGAGUCACACAUCAUUCAAAAUCACUACGGUGCAUUUCUUCCUUAGUCUGUUGAGAGCUGAUGCCUAAUUUAAAGGUACAGUGUGUAGAAAUGAGAAUAUUUGAAACCACUGAGUAGGGCUGGACGAUAUGGCCUCAAAUUGAUAUCACGACAUAUUGAGCAGUUCACCUCGAUAACGAUAAAUGUACGAUAACUACUCCACAAGCUGCUCACCCCCUCCCACAUUGACUUGGUUUACUUCAGCCGCUACAACUUUUGAACUAUCCUCCAUCACACCCGCCUUUCCCGCUUUGUUACGGACUGGAUGGGGUGGAGUCACAUCUCUGACAUAGAACAGCGUCUUAGAGGGACAUGAGACCAUAGCCUACCUACACACAUCCAAAACCAACUUUUAUUUAUUUAUUUAUUUAUUUUUGGACACUGAUUAUACCAGAUACGGGCAAAAUGACGGUUAUUGUUGUAAAUUUUGGUAUUGGUAAAUUUUCUGUUUAUCGCCCAGCCCUACUACUGAGCAGUCCGAUUCCAGAUUGAAAUGCCCCCUUGCUCGCCUCUUCUGCUGAUUAAGCGAUGAUGGCCUUCAAGAACAAGAUCCUCCCCACAUUGUCAAGUUUUGACCAUUAAUUUUUUUUUCUUUUCCCACACAACAGCCAAUUUCUUCUACAUUUUCUUCAAGCUGGUGCAUUUCACUCAGCCACUCAUUAGAUACAAAAUUAAAAAUGUGACUAGUUUGUUCGUUCUGUGCUCCUCAUAAAGAUAUGAAAGCCUCAUUCUCAGUUUACAAAAAAAUAAAAAAAUCAUAUUCACCUGAUUAUACACAAAUAUAUCCCAUUUCUGUCAUGUCUGAUGUGAUAGAUAUUGUUAAAUUUUACAAACUGCUCCUUUAAAUGCAAAGAAUGCCACCAGGAGCCGUUGUAACUCAAUCCAAUUACUUGAAUAUCUUAUAAAACCGCCUCUGACAAGGCAAAUAGCCAAUCACAGUGCGAGAUAUUAAAGGUGACAUUCAAAUUUUAAAGGAGGACCGGAGAAGUUGUGCAAAAAUCAGCAUAUAUAUAUAUUUUUUAAUCGACAAUAAAUCAGCAGCUUAUGUUAGCUGAAAAGUAAAUCAAACAAAGUAUUCCCGUCUAUCAUAAACAACGCUUUGUGUGCCUGUCAUGCAAGUUUAAGGCCAAAG